rnacentral:rRNA from 1 species
GGGGAAUUUUGGACAAUGGGGGAAACCCUGAUCCAGCCAUUCCGCGUGUGUGAUGAAGGCCUUCGGGUUGUAAAGCACUUUUGUCAGGAAAGAAAUCGCUCGGGUUAAUACCCUAAGCGGAUGACGGUACCUGAAGAAUAAGCACCGGCUAACUACGUGCCAGCAGCCGCGGUAAUACGUAGGGUGCAAGCGUUAAUCGGAAUUACUGGGCGUAAAGCGUGCGCAGGCGGUUCGGAAAGAAAGAUGUGAAAUCCCAGGGCUCAACCUUGGAAUGGCAUUUUUAACUCCCGAACUAGAGUGUGUCAGAGGGAGGUGGAAUUCCGCGUGUAGCAGUGAAAUGCGUAGAUAUGCGGAGGAACACCGAUGGCGAAGGCAGCCUCCUGGGAUAACACUGACGCUCAGGCACGAAAGCGUGGGGAGCAAAC